rfam:Nelumbo nucifera unplaced genomic scaffold scaffold00069, whole genome shotgun sequence
GUCGUUGUGGUAUAGUGGUGAGUAUUCCCACCUGUCACGCCGGUGACCCGGGUUCGAUCCCUGGCAACGGCG